rnacentral:rRNA from 2 species
UGGGCUUGACAUCCCAAGAAUCCUGUGGAAACACGGGAGUGCCCUUCGGGGAACUUGGUGACAGGUGGUGCAUGGUUGUCGUCAGCUCGUGUCGUGAGAUGUUGGGUUAAGUCCCGCAACGAGCGCAACCCUUGUUGUUAGUUGCUACCAUUAAGUUGAGCACUCUAGCAAGACUGCCUGGGUAACCAGGAGGAAGGUGGGGAUGACGUCAAAUCAUCAUGCCCCUUAUGUCCAGGGCUACACACGUGCUACAAUGGUUGGUACAAAGAGAAGCAAGACCGUGAGGUGGAGCAAAUCUCAUAAAACCAAUCUCAGUUCGGAUUGUAGGCUGAAACUCGCCUACAUGAAGCUGGAGUUACUAGUAAUCGCGAAUCAGAAUGUCGCGGUGAAUGCGUUCCCGGGCC